UGCAUGAGAUUCCACUUAUUCUAUGUGAUUUUAAGCCUCUCUCUUUAGUUACGGUGCUGAUACUCUCGAGAGAUGGAAUUGGGAAUCUGUUUCGUCAUUGAGAGCAACUAACUGCCAUUAUUCCGAGGCGGUUCCCCGUAAAGCAGACUAACUAGUAGGGUGAAAGAAUCCAGUAGCAAACGGGAUUGAUUCCAACUCCAUUAGUCUUCUGUGUUUGCAAGCACCCUUAUGACAUCCUUUAAAAGCUAGAGGAACUUCCUAUUUCA
rnacentral:lncRNA from 1 species